rnacentral:rRNA from 1 species
GUAGGUGGCAAGCGUUGUCCGGAAUUAUUGGGCGUAAAGCGCGCGCAGGCGGGGUCCUUUAAGUCUGAUGUGAAAGUCCACGGGCUCAACCGUGGAGGGUCAUUGGAAACUGGGGGACUUGAGUACAGAAGAGGAAAGCGGAAUUCCAAGUGUAGCGGUGAAAUGCGUAGAGAUUUGGAGGAACACCAGUGGCGAAGGCGGCUUUCUGGUCUGUAACUGACGCUGAGGCGCGAAAGCGUGGGGAGCAAACAGGAUUAGAUACCCUGGUAGUCCACGCCGUAAACGAUGAGUGCUAAGUGUUAGGGGGUUUCCGCCCCUUAGUGCUGCAGCUAACGCAUUAAGCACUCCGCCUGGGGAGUACGGCCGCAAAGGCUG